CCACGAUAAAGGCAAACCAACUGAAAAGCUGGGACGCAAAGCCAAGGGCCUUAACGAAAAGAAAGGCAGCCGGUUACCGAA
rnacentral:ncRNA from 1 species